rnacentral:rRNA from 1 species
UACGUAGGGCGCAAGCGUUGUCCGGAAUUAUUGGGCGUAAAGAGCUCGUAGGCGGUUUGUUAAGUGCAGGGUGAAAGCUCCCGGCUCAACUGGGAGAGGUCCUUGCAUACUGGCAAACUCGAGGGAGGCAGAGGAAAGUGGAAUUCCCGGUGUAGUGGUGAUAUGCGUAGAUAUCGGGAGGAACACCUGUGGCGAAGGGCGGCUUUCUGGGCCUUACCGUGA